UCGAGGAUCUUCGGCAAUGGGCGCAACCCUGACCGAGCGACGCCGCGUGUGCGACGAAGGCCUUCGGGUUGUAAAGCACUGUCGAGGGGGAGGAAAGCCGCAAGGUUUGACCUAUCCCUGGAGGAAGCACGGGCUAAGUUCGUGCCAGCAGCCGCGGUAAGACGAACCGAGCGAACGUUGUUCGGAAUCACUGGGCUUAAAGGGCGCGUAGGCGGGCUGCCGCGUCCGGGGUGAAAUCCCACGGCUCAACCGUGGAACGGCCCCGGAUACGGGCGGCCUCGAGGGGGGUAGGGGCAUCUGGAACUGUGAGUGGAGCGGUGAAAUGCGUUGAUAUUCACAGGAACUCCGGUGGCGAAGGCGAGGUGCUGGACCCCACCUGACGCUGAGGCGCGAAAGCCAGGGGAGCAAACGGGAUUAGAUACCCCCGUAGUCC
rnacentral:rRNA from 1 species